GGUUUACAAGCGGCAGUUUCCCCUGCGGCUCUUUUUCCUGCUGCCAUGCAAGAGGUACCUUGCUUCUCCUUUGCAUUCUGCCACAAUUAUUUUGGCCAUUACAAACAGUGCUGUUGUGAAUGUUGUGCCUGCCUGUCUUCCAGCUGGACAUAGGCAACCACAUGAAGCACAGACCCAGGAGGCCUAAGCUGGCCUCGGUGUAGGAGAAGCCGGGCACAGGGAUGUUUUUGAAGAAGAAAGUGACCACUUGUCAAAGAAUUCAGGAUUGAUUCCUAACGCAGAGUGACUCAUCAAGAGACCCAGGUUCUAUUGGCCACCCCUCUUCAGCUGGUUAUUCAGGCUAGGGAAACUGUUUUUGUUUUUUAAGGGAAAGUUUAUAGAAAGUGAGAGAAGGUAGAUACGAGAUUCAAAAGACAAAGUAGAAAGAAAUGUGUGUUCUUUAAGAUUUUGUACCAUAGAAAAAAAGGCUUUACCCACUCAAACAUCGCUUAAAAGUAAGCAUGAUGGAGAACAAGAGAGAAGGCGUGCCCUGGCAACCAUUGCCAGGAAACAGAUUUCACUGAAGUCAUAAAUUAGAAAGAUAACCCACUUACCGGAGGUGGGUUCAUAUGCAAUGCUGAAAAAUCUGCCAGUAUAGAGAAUAUUGCUACCUUUAGCUUCAGUUUUUUUAAUCACUCAUGUUUGAUAAUUAUAAAGAUGUUUAAAGAGGAAA
ensembl:lncRNA LINC02408 long intergenic non-protein coding RNA 2408